rnacentral:rRNA from 1 species
GAUGAACGCUGGCGGCGUGCCUAAUACAUGCAAGUCGAGCGAACGGACGAGAAGCUUGCUUCUCUGAUGUUAGCGGCGGACGGGUGAGUAACACGUGGAUAACCUACCUAUAAGACUGGGAUAACUUCGGGAAACCGGAGCUAAUACCGGAUAAUAUUUUGAACCGCAUGGUUCAAGAGUGAAAGACGGCCUUGCUGUCACUUAUAGAUGGAUCCGCGCUACAUUAGCUAGUUGGUAAGGUAACGGCUUACCAAGGCAACGAUGCAUAGCCGACCUGAGAGGGUGAUCGGCCACACUGGAACUGAGACACGGUCCAGACUCCUACGGGAGGCAGCAGUAGGGAAUCUUCCGCAAUGGGCGAAAGCCUGACGGAGCAACGCCGCGUGAGUGAUGAAGGUCUUCGGAUCGUAAAACUCUGUUAUUAGGGAAGAACAUAUGUGUAAGUAACUGUGCACAUCUUGACGGUACCUAAUCAGAAAGCCACGGCUAACUACGUG